CAAAUAUCAUUUGAAGUGUACCUUGAAAAUUAUAUUGGCUUCUGCAGUACUCUUUCCAAAUAAAAACCUCCACCAUCUCAUCUUCAUCUCAGUUCCCAAAUUGUUUGUUAUCUGUUUGCUCCCAACUGUAACACCGAUUCCUUUUGCUUUCCUUGUGGGUUAUCAAUAAGCUUGAUUUGAUUAUUGUUGUGUUCAUCCUUCUCACACAAAGCGAAUCACUGUACCAAUAUGUCUAGGGUUUAACUACCUCCAAGUGAAAUGAAUGAGGCAUCCUUCCGGAAAUAGCAAUUCUCUCAUCUGCAGAUCAGCUUAAUAGCAGUAGAAGCAAUGGUGAGUCCUCAUUCUUCGAGGACGGGUUUAUCUUAUAUUUAGUUAUGUCAUUAGUUUAGUUAUUUAUUCAGUCGAAGUUAGUUGGGGUUUGUCCCAUCAACUCCACAGUCAGUCAGUUUUAGAGGCUUUCAGACAUUCAGACAGAUAGUCAGUUUAUCAAUUAUUUUUAUUAGUAUUUUUAGUAUGUUUCCAGCGUUCAGAACUAUGAUUCAGUAUUGUUUUCAGUUUCUAAAACCCUAUGGCAUUAUUAGCUGAUUUUUCGUGUAUGUAUUCAUUAUCAGUACAUUAUCCAAUACUCACAGCAGGUAGCAGUUCAUGAGUUAGCUUAUGGUUUUUUGGAAUCGUAAGCACCGUUGUCGUGACUAGGGUGUAGCCUCGGGUUGUAACAAUAGUAAAGUGAGAUUAUAUCACAGUUUUUGUUUAGUCAUCCUUCAAAUAAGUAAAUAGGAUUGACAGAGAAUAUGUUAUAACAUAAUAAAAUAUUUUUGCAUGAUUUAUGCUGAAGAAUUAUUUGGAAAUAUUUUGACAAGGUUAAGCUUGAGUUUUGUCUAUUAAAUUUGUAGAGAAUGUCCUUAUUGAACCAUUCAUCUUUGCCCUUCCCCACGGCAAGUUCUAAUCAUACUGCAUUAAUAAUUGCAAGACUUGCAUCGUUACUUGUUGCUUUAGAGGAGAAGAAUUUCUAAUAAUUUUUUCUUCACAAGUGUUACAUAAUAUGGAUGUCAUGUGACAUGCAUGUGUGAAAUAUCAUUAAUAAGAGAUAAUAGUUAGUAGUCAAAUUGAAUGUGAACAUCAAGAAUUACUUGUUCAAUUUGAAUUUGAAUACCUAAGGUAGUUGGCCAAAUUGCCAACUUCAAGUUACUUGUUCAAUUUGAAUUUGAAUAUCUAAGAAAGAUGGUCAAGUUGCCAACUUGAUGUCAAGCUUGGUAGCCUUACGGAGCACGUUUGGUGAUCUAUAAAUAGCCACCUUUUUGUACAUUUUUAUUGAUAUAUGAAAGUAGUAAAAAUAAAGUACUACUAAAAUUUUCUAAUGUUCUCUCCUUUCUUUAAGUUUGAUAUUGAUAUUUUAUCUUUAUUUUAUAACAUGUUAUCAGUACGAGACUCUACUAUCUCAAAAUUUGAAGGCUAAGAAAA